ACAGCUUACACAGUGAUGCUAGCUUAUGUUGUGUUCUGUAUAUAUCAAUCUUCUGUGCCUAUAAACAAAGUUUUUCUUGAUAAGCUGAAGAGAGAUAGCUAGACUCAGUUUACUUGAAACUUGGCACUGCAGAGUUUUGAUGGCAUUAUGCUCGUUGAUUCUCCUUUGCUUUGAAAUAUGCCCAAGCCAAAAAGUUUUAUGAUCUCCUGAUAUGCAGUGCUUUUAGAUUGUUCCGAAUGAGCUGCAACAAAGUUCGCCAGAAGAAUCUUCUUUGGAAGUUUGUUGAGUGUCUGGCUUCUAUGUCAUGCGUAACAUUUUCAACAUGCUCUACAAUUUGCGGUUCAGAGGAUCUUAAUCAAGGUCUUACUGCAGAAACUUGAUAUUGGAAUAUGUUCAAAUCUGGCAACAAGAUAUGAGAAGCCAAAUAUCCUCCAUCUUCAUAUAUAACAAUAGAAGGAGCUCUUCUACUACAAUGGUGACACCAAGUCAACAAAAGAAACACAAAGCACAGCUAAGAUAAUGCAGGGCUGAAGAGACAUCUGAAGUACCUGAGCUUUGAUCUCUGACAACUUCUUCUGCCUCGGCUCCAAACAGCAUAUAUAGCCCAGAUAUAUGGCCCUCUGGCCUCUAUAAAUGAGUAGAGAAGGCUAAGAAGAUUGACGAAGAAGACGAAUUAUAUCAGAUUUCUCAAGCAAGUAACCCAGAAUGCUUUUCUACUGUCUUUUGAGUUGUGUGUUCUACUAUAUUAUCAAUUCAUUUUCUAUUAAGGCUCUGUUUGGUAGAGCGUAAAACAUUUUCCAUGAAAAGUGUUUUCCUCCCUCUUCUAAUUUUACAUUGUUUGGUAUACAAAGGAAUGUAAAAUCAUUUUCCAUGGGAGUAAAAUUUCUUUACAAAGAUGGAAAAACCAUUUUCCUUUCAAAAGGAAAGGAAAACUAUUUUCCCUCCAUGUCUUGUACACUAUUCCCUUACUACCUCCUUCCACCCCCCUCCAUUUUCCCAUUUUCCAUCCCUUUUUUUACAUGCAACCAAACAAUGGAAAAUUGUUUCUAUGAAAAUAGUUUUCCAUGGAAAACUAUUUUCCAUGAAAAUCAUUUUACAUUGAAAAUAUUUUACGCCCAACCAAACGGACCCUAAGUGAAGCAGCUUGGAUCAUGGAACUUGGAUAAUCAUUCUUGUUUAGGGAUUCUAUGCUUAUUUGAUAAAAUUAGCAUAACAACAUUAGUAAAAGAUGUGCUUAUUGAUCAA